GUUUGAAAAUCGCUGUAAUUAUGGUAAUGUCAGAUGAGUCAGCUACUGGGCAGCCCUGCUCUGCCCUGGCCAUCUCCUCUAGCCUUAAGAGCCUCAGCACCUGGGGCUUCAAAACAUCGAGAACCAGAAGAAAAGAGAGCCCUCCUCCACCCUGCCCUGCCCUGGGAGGGAAGUGAAGUCACCCCGGGAGUUCCAAGAACAGCUUCAAAAGGAGCUGCCAAUCGCUGUGGCUGCCACAAGGAAGGGACAGUUGCAGGGACAUAGCUAACCGGGGAAGGGGCUUCUGUGGAAUAUCAGGAACCCGGAAAGUCUGCAUCAGAAGGAAGCUCCCACAGGCUAACUGACUGUGAUCCUCCCCCCUGGCCAGCCAACUCUCAGGAUGAUGGGAUUCUGAACUGAGCACGAUGACCCAUACCUGUAAUCCCAGCACUCAGGAAGUUGAGGCCAGAGGAUUUUCAUGAGCUGGAGGCCAGCCUGGGAUACAUAUGGAGGCUGCUCUAUGCUACAGAGACCUUGAUACAAUCAAAUAAAGCAAAGCAAAUGAGCCCCACUGAGCUCUUCUUAGGAAGUCCCUGUGAUUUGGACCCCAGUACCACAUGGGUCCCUGUUUUCCCGUCUGCUG
rnacentral:lncRNA from 1 species